GUCUCCUCGUGUCAAAGUCACCCUCUACACAUAUACUAACCUCUUAAUCUAAUUAUGCAUUUAACAACAUAGUUUUUCUUUUACUGUAGUGUUCAAAAAUAUUGUUCAGUUCAGUAUUUAUACCAUUUAAAUUAGACUAGGGCCUAGCUUUUCAUGGCUUCUCCUAAAUUUGCCCUGGAAGAAAUAGUUUUUGCAAAACUCAGAGGCUGGCCUGCUUGGCCAGCCAAAGUAGAAUUUUUCGAAAAUAUUGGUAGCAGUAGCAAUAAGAUUAAGUACAGUGUAUAUUUUUAUGGAACAAAUCAAAUUGCACAGUGCAGAGAAGAAGAUUUGUUUCCCUACACCAAAUAUAGGAACAAGUUUGGCAGACCCAAAAAGAAUUUUAGGUUAAAUAAAGCAAUUGCUCAGGCGGAUGCAGAGCUUGAAAACCAUACGUCCAACAAUAUUAAUCAUUCAAAACUACCAGGCUUAAAUUACUUGCAAGCUGAGUUGAAAGUGCUGAAAAUUGAUAGAGACAUCAAAAGUAGUUUGAGUGUUGAUCAGCCAGUGCUGGAUACGUGCUUGGAGCUAUUGCAAGAGUAUUCGGAAUUAACAAUUUCUCCUCUGAUGUUCAAGAAACAUCCACUACUCAUUGACACUCUGUUAAAACUUCAAGUGUACACUAUUGAUAAAACACGUGAAAAUGAAACAAAUUUUGCUGAACUAAAAAAAAAAAUUGAUCUGAUAAGGAAAGAAUCAAGGACAGUUUAUUAUAAAGUACAAUCGAGUUUUGAUGUACCACAAGGGCUAACAUUUUUAGAGUAUUAUCUAGAAACCCUUGACAAAAUGCAGAAACAUGUGGCUAGUAUGUCAGAAAUUGAAAUCCUGCAGUUAAGUUAUCCAAUGAUUUUAUGAGUGACUCCCAAAGUUGAAGCAGUCAACCAUGCAAGCGGAAGUUUUGGUGGUCUUCUUUUCAAGUAUACCAAGUGAAAUUUGCAAAACUUGCAUUUAUCUAACAGGAUGGAAAUUGGUAAUUAUUGAACAAGUGUGUUAUAAUUUAAAGUGUUUUGUGUAAUAUGCCUAAUCAUACGAAAUGUGAGAUCCUUUUUCCCAGAAAAUUGCAUUUUCUCACUCUAACAUGUUAUUCAGUAGACUAUAGCCUCCUUAAGUAGACCCCUUUAAGUUGUAUCUCUGGAUAUCCCAUACUGAUUUGCAAUAAACAAACGGAAAAAUAGAUUGUGAAAUAUGCAUUUUUGUAGUGCUAUAGCUUUAUUCAAGUUUUGCAUAAUCAAACAGUAAGUUAACCAUGUUCAAACAGUUUUUACUUAACUGAGCGCAGCAUGCAAGGUGAAUCAUUGUCAAUGUUAUUGUCUAUUGCAAUGUGUAAGUAUUAAAAGUGUUUAAAAUCACGCAGACAGUUGUUCAAAAUUUGGCUGAAAGCGAGAGAAGUGUGUUACUGUAUGUAGUUGCAUUGUGUAGCAGUCUACACACAGCCUUAAGCCCAAACCCUGUACUACUCUUAAUUCGGCUCCUUUGUUUUCUCUUCUUUUAUUGAAUAUACAUUUUGGAGUUAUUAUUUCUUUUAA